AAGAGGUUAAUUUAAUUAAAAUACUUAUUUGUCAAAUAAAAAAUACAUUUAACAAAAUUUGUACUUCUUG
rnacentral:tRNA from 1 species